rnacentral:rRNA from 1 species
CUACGGGCGGCUGCAGUGGGGAAUAUUGGGCAAUGGGCGCAAGCCUGACCCAGCAACGCCGCGUGGGGGAAGAAUGUCUUCGGAUUGUAAACCUCUGUCCUUGGGGACGAAAAAAAUGACGGUACCCAAGGAGGAAGCUCCGGCUAACUACGUGCCAGCAGCCGCGGUAAUACGUAGGGAGCAAGCGUUGUCCGGAAUUAUUGGGCGUAAAGGGUGCGUAGGCGGCGCUGUAAGUCAGAUGUGAAAUCCCCGGGCUUAACUCGGGAGUUGCAUUUGAAACUACAGUGCUUGAGUAAAGAAGGGGUAAGUGGAAUUACUAGUGUAGCGGUGGAAUGCGUAGAUAUUAGGAGGAACACCAGUGGCGAAGGCGACUUACUGGUCUUUUACUGACGCUGAGGCACGAAAGCGUGGGGAGCAAACAGGAUUAGAUACCCCAGUAGUC